rnacentral:rRNA from 1 species
GGCAGCAGUGAGGAAUAUUGGCAAUGGAGGCAACUCUGACCCAGCCAUGCCGCGUGCAGGAAGACUGCCCUAUGGGUKUGUAAACUGCUUUUAUACAGGAAGAAACUUAUCCACGUGUGGAUAACUGACGGUACUGUAAGAAUAAGGACCGGCUAACUCCGUGCCAGCAGCCGCGGUAAUACGGAGGGUCCAAGCGUUAUCCGGAAUCAUUGGGUUUAAAGGGUCCGUAGCGGGCAAUUAAGUCAGAGGUGAAAUCCCACAGCUCAACUGUGGAACUGCCUUUGAUACUGGUUGUCUUGAGUUAUAGUGAAGUAGAUAGAAUAUGUAGUGUAGCGGUGAAAUGCAUAGAUAUUACAUAGAAUACCGAUUGCGAAGGCAGUCUACUAACUGUAUACUGACGCUAAUGGACGAAAGCGUGGGGAGCGAACAGGAUUAGAUACCCUGGUAGUCCACGCCGUAAACGAUGGUCACUAGUUGUUGGGGUCUUGUACCUCAGUGAUUAA